rnacentral:tRNA from 1 species
CCAAAAGUAAUUUAAAUAAAAUAUUGAUCUUGUAAAUCAACAAUGAAUUUUUCCUUUGGA